rnacentral:rRNA from 1 species
CAUGCAAGUCGAACGAUGAUCCGGUGCUUGCACCGGGGAUUAGUGGCGAACGGGUGAGUAACACGUGAGUAACCUGCCCUUAACUCUGGGAUAAGCCUGGGAAACUGGGUCUAAUACCGGAUAUGACUCCUCAUCGCAUGGUGGGGGGUGGAAAGCUUUUUGUGGUUUUGGAUGGACUCGCGGCCUAUCAGCUUGUUGGUGAGGUAAUGGCUCACCAAGGCGACGACGGGUAGCCGGCCUGAGAGGGUGACCGGCCACACUGGGACUGAGACACGGCCCAGACUCCUACGGGAGGCAGCAGUGGGGAAUAUUGCACAAUGGGCGCAAGCCUGAUGCAGCGACGCCGCGUGAGGGAUGACGGCCUUCGGGUUGUAAACCUCUUUCAGUAGGGAAGAAGCGAAAGUGACGGUACCUGCAGAAGAAGCGCCGGCUAACUACGUGCCAGCAGCCGCGGUAAUACGUAGGGCGCAAGCGUUAUCCGGAAUUAUUGGGCGUAAAGAGCUCGUAGGCGGUUUGUCGCGUCUGCCGUGAAAGUCCGGGGCUCAACUCCGGAUCUGCGGUGGGUACGGGCAGACUAGAGUGAUGUAGGGGAGACUGGAAUUCCUGGUGUAGCGGUGAAAUGCGCAGAUAUCAGGAGGAACACCGAUGGCGAAGGCAGGUCUCUGGGCAUUAACUGACGCUGAGGAGCGAAAGCAUGGGGAGCGAACAGGAUUAGAUACCCUGGUAGUCCAUGCCGUAAACGUUGGGCACUAGGUGUGGGGGACAUUCCACGUUUUCCGCGCCGUAGCUAACGCAUUAAGUGCCCCGCCUGGGGAGUACGGCCGCAAGGCUAAAAC